CGCAUCUGUGCAUGCAGCACAUCAAUAAGCGGAGGAAAAGGAGUAUACCUACGCUUAGGAUGUUGACGAGACUGUCGAUCUCAUCUAUACAUGACUCUGUGCAUAUCAAUAAGCGGAGGAAAAGAAACUAACAAGGAUUCCCCUAGUAACGGCGAGUGAAGCGGGAAGAGCUCAAAUUUGAAAUCUUAAAGGGUUUCCCUUUACGAAUUGUAGUUUAAAGAAGUGUUUUCUGUUGAGGUUUUGGUAAAAGUUCUUUGGAAUAGGACAUCAUAGAGGGUGAGAAUCCCGUAUUUGACCUUUACUUUCAACUUUGUGAUACACUUUCAAAGAGUCGGAUUGUUUGGGAAUGCAGUCCAAAAUGGGUGGUAAAUUUCAUCUAAAGCUAAAUAUUGGCGAGAGACCGAUAGCGAACAAGUACCGUGAGGGAAAGAUGAAAAGAACUUUGAAAAGAGAGUUAAACAGUACGUGAAAUUGUCAAAAGGGAAGCGUUUGACACCAGUGUUGUUUUUCUGAAAAUCAAUUAAAGAACUGUUUAUGCUAAGCUGUUUAGACUUUAUCAGCUAUCUGUUUAGUUUUGAGCUUUUCUUUAAUGCACUUUUCAGUUAACAAGUCAACAUCAAUUUCUUUUGCUGUAAAAAAGCUUGAGGAAGGUGGCUUGAGAUUCGUCUUAAGUGUUUAUAGCCUCUUGCCUAUGCAGUCGGAGAGAUUGAGGUCUGCAGCGUAGAUCCUUCGGGGCUAAAUGCAUUUGUGCUAAGUUAUAGCAUUUUAUAGACAACUUGUUGACUAUGAUUUGUCUUGUAGCUUACUCGCUUAUGUUAUUUUACCUACGCUUAGGAUGUUGACGAGACUGUCGAUCUC
rnacentral:rRNA from 1 species